UACGUAGGGGGCAAGCGUUGUCCGGAAUCAUUGGGCGUAAAGCGCGUGUAGGCGGUCCGGUAAGUCCGCUGUGAAAGUCGGGGGCUCAACCCUCGAAAGCCGGUGGAAACUGUCGGGCUAGAGUGCGGAAGAGGCGAGUGGAAUUCCUGGUGUAGCGGUGAAAUGCGCAGAUAUCAGGAAGAACACCCGUGGCGAAGGCGGCUCUCUGGGACGGUACUGACGCUGAGACGCGAAAGCGUGGGGAGCGAACAGG
rnacentral:rRNA from 1 species